UGGGGAAUCUUCCGCAAUGGACGAAAGUCUGACGGAGCAACGCCGCGUGAGUGAUGACGGCCUUCGGGUUGUAAAGCUCUGUUAAUCGGGACGAAUGGUUCUUGUGUGAAUAGUGCGAGGAUUUGACGGUACCGGAAUAGAAAGCCACGGCUAACUACGUGCCAGCAGCCGCGGUAAUACGUAGGUGGCAAGCGUUGUCCGGAAUUAUUGGGCGUAAAGCGCGCGCAGGCGGAUUGGUCAGUCUGUCUUAAAAGUUCGGGGCUUAACCCCGUGAUGGGAUGGAAACUGCCAAUCUAGAGUAUCGGAGAGGAAAGUGGAAUUCCUAGUGUAGCGGUGAAGUGCGUAGAUAUUAGGAAGAACACCAGUGGCGAAGGCGACUUUCUGGACGAAAACUGACGCUGAGGCGCGAAAGCCAGGGGAGCGAACGGGAUUAGAUACCCCGGUAGUCCUGGCCGUAAACGAUGGGUACUAGGUGUAGGAGGUAUCGACCCCUUCUGUGCCGGAGUUAACGCAAUAAGUACCCCGCCUGGGGAGUACGACCGCAAGGUU
rnacentral:rRNA from 1 species